rnacentral:rRNA from 1 species
ACGCUAGCGACAGGCUUAACACAUGCAAGUCGAGGGGUAACAGGGUGUAGCAAUACACCGCUGACGACCGGCGCACGGGUGAGUAACGCGUAUGCAACCUGCCUUUGACAGAGGGAUAGCCCAUGGAAGCGUGGAUUAAUACCUCAUAGUCUCUUUUUCCUUCCUGGGGAAUAGAGUAAAACGAGAGUGGUCAAAGAUGGGCAUGCGUCCUAUUAGGCAGUUGGCGGGGUAACGGCCCACCAAACCGAUGAUAGGUAGGGGUUCUGAGAGGAAGGUCCCCCACACUGGUACUGAGACACGGACCAGACUCCUACGGGAGGCAGCAGUGAGGAAUAUUGGUCAAUGGUCGAGAGACUGAACCAGCCAAGUCGCGUGAGGGAUGACUGCCCUAUGGGUUGUAAACCUCUUUUCUACUGGGAGAAUAAGCCCUAUGUAUAGGGUGAUGACAGUACAGUAGGAAUAAGCAUCGGCUAACUCCGUGCCAGCAGCCGCGGUAAUACGGAGGAUGCGAGCGUUAUCCGGAUUUAUUGGGUUUAAAGGGUGCGUAAGCGGCUUUAUAAGUUAGUGGUAAAAUUUCGGAGCUUCACUCCGGUCCGCCAUUAAAACUGUAGAGCUAGAGAAUGGACGAGGUUGGCGGGAUAAGUUAGGUAGCGGUGAAAUGCAUUGAUAUAACUUAGAGCUUCGAUAGCGAAGGCAGCUUUCCAGACCAUUAACUGACGCUGAUGCACGAGAGCGUGGGUAGCGAACAGGAUUAGAUACCCUGGGUAGUCCACGCCGUAAACGAUGCUCACCGGCCCUUAGCGAUAAGACAGUUAGGGGUUAGUUGAAAGAAUUAAGUGAGCCACCUGGGGAGUACGUCGGCAACGAUGAAACUCAAAGGAAUUGACGGGGGCCCGCACAAGCGGAGGAACAUGUGGUUUAAUUCGAUGAUUCGCGAGGAACCUUAUCUGGGUUUAAAUGUAUGUUGCAUAAUCUGGAAACAGUUUUUCUCUUGGGAGCUAUAUACAAGGUGUUGCAUGGUUGUCGUCAGCUCGUGCCGUGAGGUGUCGGGUUAAGUCCCAUACCGAGCGCAACCCUUACCGUUAGUUGCUAGCAUGUAAUGAUGAGCACUCUAGCGGGACUGCCACCGUAAGGUGAGAGGAAGGGGGGGAUGACGUCAAAUCAGCACGGCCCUUACAUCCAGGGCGACACACGUGUUACAAUGGCCAUAACAGCGGGUAGCUACCGGGCGACCGGAUGCAAAUCUCGAAAAUUGGUCUAAGUUCGGAUUGGAGUCUGCAACCCGACUCCAUGAAGUUGGAUUCGCUAGUAAUCGCGCAUCAGCCAUGGCGCGGUGAAUACGUUCCCGGGCCUUGUACACCCCGCCCGUCAAGCCAUGGAAGCUGGGAGU